GGGACAUGCAGAUGGGCAGAUGCAGGAGCUGGGGUGAGCGUUUGAGCUCUGGCCCCACAAUAGCAUCUAGGAGUGUGUUACUAUUAAUGCUUUUUUAGCUGACAGCUAAGUGUUAAACCAGAUCAGUGGAUGGCUAAUUUUUAAACCAGUUCACUGGACAGCUAAGUGUUAAACCAGCUCAGUGGAGAGCCAAGGUGACAGCCUUUAACACCCUGCCCUCUUGGUACCCGGGUCCUUGUCCAGCAUCCAGGAAGAAUCAGGUCACUUGGACUUGAAGCUUUUUAAAAUUUGCUUUAACAAAUGCUAGGCAGAGACACAACAAAAAAAGAGAAUUUUA
rnacentral:lncRNA from 1 species